rnacentral:rRNA from 1 species
UACGUAGGGACCAAGCGUUGUUCGGAUUCAUUGGGCGUAAAGGGUGCGUAGGCGGCGCGGUAAGUCGGGUGUGAAAUCUCGGGGCUUAACUCCGAAACUGCAUUCGAUACUGCCGUGCUUGAGGACUGGAGAGGAGACUGGAAUUUACGGUGUAGCGGUGAAAAUGCGUAGAUAUCGUAAGGAAGACCAGUGGCGAAGGCGGGUCUCUGGACAGUUCCUGACGCUGAGGCACGAAGGCCAGGGGAGCAAACGGG